GUUGCCUACCGAGGGUAUAAAUGGCCGUUGUGAUGGCCGGCAAUGCAUUCGUUUGACGAUUUUCGGACGGAGGUGUCGUAGUUGUUAGCGAAAGCUCCAUUACUUGCUUUAGCCAACUAUCUAUCGUCCUACGUCCAUUUUUUUUACUUCUUUUUUAAGAAUUUUGAAAGUUUUCUUUACAUCACAAAAUGCGUGAAUGUAUCUCAGUUCAUGUUGGACAAGCUGGUGUCCAGAUUGGUAAUGCGUGUUGGGAAUUAUAUUGUCUGGAACAUGGUAUCCAACCUGAUGGACAAAUGCCAUCUGACAAAACUAUUGGUGGGGGAGAUGAUAGUUUCAAUACGUUUUUUAGUGAAACUGGUGCAGGAAAACAUGUACCUAGAGCAGUUUUCAUUGAUUUGGAACCUACAGUAGUUGACGAAGUACGUACUGGUACUUAUCGUCAACUGUUUCAUCCAGAGCAAUUGAUUACUGGUAAAGAAGAUGCAGCUAACAAUUAUGCCCGUGGUCAUUAUACAAUUGGAAAAGAAAUUGUAGAUCUUGUAUUAGAUAGAAUACGUAAAUUGGCUGACCAGUGUACUGGUCUUCAAGGUUUCCUUAUCUUCCAUUCUUUUGGAGGUGGUACUGGUUCUGGUUUCACUUCUCUUUUGAUGGAACGUCUUUCUGUAGACUAUGGCAAGAAAUCAAAAUUGGAAUUUGCUAUUUAUCCUGCUCCACAAGUUUCUACUGCAGUUGUUGAACCAUAUAAUUCAAUUCUCACUACACAUACCACUCUUGAACAUUCCGAUUGUGCAUUUAUGGUUGAUAAUGAAGCUAUUUACGAUAUUUGUCGCCGUAAUUUAGACAUCGAAAGACCUACUUAUACUAAUUUAAAUCGAUUAAUUGGCCAAAUUGUAUCCUCCAUUACAGCUUCUCUGCGAUUUGAUGGUGCAUUGAACGUUGAUUUGACUGAAUUCCAAACAAAUUUAGUACCUUAUCCUAGAAUUCAUUCCCCUUGGUAACAUAUGCACCUGUUAUUUCUGCAGAGAAAGCAUAUCAUGAACAACUCUCUGUAUCAGAGAUUACGAAUGCAUGUUUUGAACCAGCAAACCAAAUGGUGAAAUGUGAUCCUCGCCAUGGAAAAUACAUGGCUUGCUGUAUGUUGUAUAGAGGUGAUGUUGUACCCAAAGAUGUAAAUGCAGCGAUCGCCACUAUAAAAACAAAACGUACUAUUCAAUUUGUUGAUUGGUGCCCAACUGGAUUUAAAGUUGGUAUUAAUUAUCAGCCUCCAACUGUGGUACCUGGUGGUGAUCUUGCCAAAGUACAACGUGCUGUUUGCAUGUUGUCAAACACAACCGCUAUUGCGGAAGCUUGGGCUCGUCUUGAUCAUAAGUUCGAUUUGAUGUAUGCCAAACGUGCAUUUGUCCAUUGGUACGUUGGUGAAGGUAUGGAAGAAGGUGAAUUUUCUGAAGCACGUGAAGAUCUUGCGGCUCUUGAAAAAGAUUAUGAAGAAGUCGGUAUGGAUUCCGCUGAAGGUGAAGGAGAAGGUGCCGAAGAAUACUAAAUAAUUCGAGUAUUAUGACUGUUUUGAUAUAUAUAUAUAUAUAUUAUUUUUUUUUUUGGUAAUAAAGAGACAAAUUGUCAUGAGCAACAAUAAGUCCUUAUUUUCA